rnacentral:lncRNA from 1 species
GACAACCAGCCUUGCUCACGAAGCGUCAGCCGUAUCCUUUCUGUGUGCAGUGGGGUGUGGGUUGUGUGGAGCCGCGGUGUCUGUGGAAUUCACAGGCUGGGGCCGGAAUCCAUGGCCCCCGUCGCCGCUGCCACCCCCCAGGUGCUGGGGUGACCUGAUCCAGGGUUGGGGUCUAAGCUGCUGGGGGGUUGGAGUCUUGGGCUCUGGCCCACGUCCGCCUCUGAUUGGUUCUACCACCUGAGCCGGUCACUGACCCUCCAUGGGCCUCAGCUUACCCUAUGGUAAAGUGAGAACUAGGGGGUCAGACUCCUUGAUCACCAAGAUCUCUGACCACAGCCAAGGCUAAGGGAAGCGCAGGAAAACGUGGGGCUCGUCCAAAUUCCCAGCCUCUCUCUGCCCCCUGGUGGACGCCGGCAGCCUAGCACCCGGGGGGAGAUGACCCCGACACUGUGUGACCUCUGCCAAGGCACCCAUCCCUCUGAGCCCCAGUUCCCACCGGUUACAUAGGAAUGAUUAUAAUACCCACCUCUUUGGGCAAUUGUGAGGAGGCAAGGAGAUAAUACAUGCAAAGUGCUUGGAUGGGAUGGGUACUAGCCACUCAACAGAAGGCAGAUCCUAGAAUGGGGAUGGCAAGUCCUGUCAUCAGUGAAGAAUGUAAUGACUGCAAGCUUAGAUGACAUGUCUGUUACUGGAAACCAGAGUUGUUUACUUAAGCUGUAAAUGAACUCAUAGUCCCUGGGAUAAUUAUCUCACCUCUGGAUAAAUAAACUCAACAGCCUUAUGUAUUUUAUUAAUUUUUCUUAAAAAAAAGCUUAAAAUAUUUUUCCUUUGAUUUGUUCUCUUUCUUUGGUUUCUGACUUUAUUAUGUCCUUUCUUUCUGCUUAGGCAUUUGUUUUAUUGCUCUUUUUUCACCAACUCAAACUGAAUGGUCACCUUAACAGUUUUAUUGAGAUCCAUUAUUUAUUCUUCUCCAUCUUGUUCUGUGUUCCUGGAAGCCAACCUUUAUAAGCUGCAGGAAAUGGAUUUCCUACUCUCCACCUUCUGAUUGGGCUUGACCAACGGGGAGCACUGGCAGAAGACAAGCAUGGGAGGAAAAAGAGAUCAGGGCUGGAGUGCAGUGGCGUGAUCUCGGCUAGCUACAACCUCCACCUC